GAGGUGGCUUGCUGCCUGCCAUGUCAGCGACUGGCUGUCUUCUGCUACACUGCCCUGCCUUGGAACCAGAUGAACAUGGACCGAAACCUCAACAAACUGCAAGCUAAAAUGAAUCUUUCCUCUUUUAACUUUAGGGUCAAUUAUUUUGUCUCAGCAAUGUGAAAGUAACUAAGACAUUUUAAAAUUUCUUGUUAUUUUGAGACAGGAUCUCACUAAAUUACUAAGUUGCCCAGGCCAGGUUCAAACAUGAAUCUCAUGCCUCAGUUUCCCAGAGUUCUGAGAUUACAGAACCUCAUAUUCAAUCCAUGUCCUGUUGUUCAAAGUUAUUUUGAAAUGGGCCGAGUCUUAAUUGAAGUGGAAGUACCUGAAACCAGAGUUAAUAUCAGGAGCAACAGGGAGUCAGAUUCACGGAGGUAAACUGUUGCUAGUUCUGCAUUUCAAGCCCUUUUGGCUCCUGGGCCAGCUGAACUUCUGGUUGUAGGCUGAGCUGGAUGGAGACAGAUGCAGCUCUAGUGAUUCUGCUGAACUUUGGAUUCCCUGGGCACAUAAGAAAAGGGUUGUGCUACAGGGUCCAGGGGCCCAAGUCAGACAGUACCGGGCAUGACUUCCACCAAUAAUUAUGAAGGCUGCUGAAUACACCAGCUACUGCUCUGGAAGCUAGAGACACAAUGGACAAUAGGAUGAGACUGAGUCUGUCCUUGUGGAGCGUAAAUUAUUUUUUACAGGAUCGAUAUAAAUAACCAAGUAAAAAAAAUACAGAGUUUCAUUAACACCAAUAAACAGAGUGAUGAAAAGAGAGUUGCUAUUAGUCCAUUUGCUGUUAUAAUAACAAGGAACCUGAGCACAGACCCGUCCACCUCCUGACAUGGGCUCCCACAGGACACUGCAGUGAGUUCCACACCUUCGACUGCAUUCUUUAGCUCUUCAGUAUGCAGAAAGGCCUUCUGGACCCUUCCUCACCUGACUCUGCAUAAAGACAAUUUUGAGGACUUCUGGGAAGAUGGUAGAGUGGUGAACAACAAAGAAACAGUCUCUCCAAGACUGGGAGUCCAGACUCUGGAAUACAGCAACGUGAGAAAGAGAAGGAGGGAAGUGGGUCCCCGGGACUCAGCAAGGAUCUGAAGUGAGGAUUGAAGGCCAUGAGGAGAGUGAAAAGAGAGACCUCAGUGCAGAAGAAAGAGGUGGCAAACAGCACUUUUUCCCCGAGCCCUGUCUCACUGUGUGGGAGGGGCAGCUCAAACCUACAGAUGCACAGUGAUUACUGGUGACCUUAGAGGCCACCACAGAAAAAUGUACCAAUGGACGGAGCAGUGGACAGCAGACUACAGUGGCUGGUGAGUUUUUUUUAUGUUUUUAG
ensembl:lncRNA